rnacentral:rRNA from 1 species
UACAGAGACUGCAAGCGUUAUUCGGAUUCACUGGGCGUAAAGGGUGCGCAGGCGGUCGGGUGUGUCAGAUGUGAAAUCCCGAGGCUCAACCUCGGAACUGCGUCUGAAACUACUCGACUAGAGUACUGGAGAGGGUAACGGAAUUCACGGUGUAGCGGUGAAAUGCGUAGAGAUCGGGAGGAACACCAGUGGCGAAGGCGGCUACCUGGACCAGCACUGACACUGAGGCACGAAAGCGUGGGGAGCAAACAGG